AGCCAAUGUGGUGUAGUGGUUAGCGUGUUGGACUAGGACCUGAGAGACCAGGGUUCAAGCCCCCACUCGGCCA
rnacentral:tRNA from 1 species